GGUGGGAUGGGUGGGGAGGGGGGCGGGGAAACAAAAGAUGGGAAAGAGAAAAUAAAAAAGAAGAUGAUAACAAACAAAACAGAACCAAACCAAAGAGAAGUCGAACCCAAAAGAAGUGGGUGUCAACCAAAGGUGGGAUGGGCGGGUGGAUGGGCGGGCAGGUGGGAUGGGGCUGGGAGGGCUGGCCAAGAACCCUGUGCUCACCAGGCUGCACCUACGUGGUGCACAGUAGGUCUUAGGCAUUGGACAGCUAUGGUCCCCAUGCCAGAAACUGGGUGGGGGAAUAGCAAGGGAAGCCCUUCUUACUAGGCACCUACUAUGUGCUUGGCAUCGUGCCAAGGGGAAUAGCAACAGGAGCUCCAUUUAUUAGGCACCUACUAUGUGCCAGCACCAAGGGCUUCACAAAAUAGUAAAAGCAUCUAUUUGUUGAACAUCUACUAUGUGCCAGGCACCAUGCCAAAGGGAACGGCAACAGAAGCUCCACUUAUUAGGUACCUACUAUGUGCCAGCACCAAGGGCUUCACAAAAUAAUAGUAAAAUAUCUAUUUACUGAACACCUACUAUGUGCCAGGCACCAUGCCAAGGGGAACAGCAAUAGAAGCUCCAUUUAUUAAAGGCUUAUUAUGUGCCAGGUACUGUGCCAAGGGAAACAGCAACAGAAGCUCCAUUUAUUAGGCACCUAUUAUGUGCCAGGCACCAUACCAAGGGGAAUGGCAGCAGAAGCUCUGUUUAUUAGGCACCUCCUAUGUGCCAGCAACAAGGGCUUCACAAAUAGUAAAGCAUCUAUUUACUCAACACCUACUAUGUACCAGGCACCAUGCCAAGGGGAACAGCAAUAGAAGCUCCAUUUAUUAAGCACUUAUUAUGCGCCAGGUACCGUGCCAAGGGGAACAGCAACAGAAGCUCCAUUUAUUAGGCACCUACUAUGUGCCACCAUACCAAGGGGAAUGGCAACAGAAGCUCCAUUCAUUAAGCACCUACUAUGUGCCAGGCAUCAUGCCAAGGGGAAUGGCAACAGAAGCCCCAUUAGGCACCUACUGUGUGCCAGGCACCAUGCCAAGGGGAAUAGCCAUAGAAGCUCCAAUUAUUAGGCACCUACUAAUAAUUGUGGUAAGGCAUUGUGCUGAGGACUCCAUAGAAUGAUAGCAAAAUAAUCUAUAUGUCAAACACUUACUAUGUGCCAGGCACCGUGGCAAGGGGAACAGCAACAGAGCUCUAUUAAGCACCUACGAUGUGCCAGCGCCAAGGGCUUCACAAAAUAACAGUAAAAGCAUCCAUUUAUUGAACACCUAGUAUGUGCCUGGCGCCAUGCCAAGGGGAGCGGCAACAGAAGCUCCAUUUAUUAAGCACCUACUAUAUGCCAGGCACCACGCCAAGGGAAGCAGCAACAAAAGCUCCAAUUAUUGGGUACCUAGUAUGUGCCAGGAACCAUGCCAAGGGGAAUGGCAACAGAAGCUCCAAUUAUCAGGCACCUACUACGUGUCAAGCAUUGUGCUAAGGCUUCAUAGAAUGGUAACAAAAUAAUCUAUGUCGAACACCUAUGUGCCAGGCACCGUGGCAAGGGGAACAGCAACAGAGCUCUAUUAGACACCUACUAUGUGCCAGCGCCAAGCACUUCACGAAAUAAUAGUAAAAGCAUCUAUUUAUUGAACACCUACUAUGUGCCAGGUACCAUGCCAAGGGGAAUGGCAAUAGAAGCUCCAUUAAGCACCUACUACGUGCCAGGUACCAUGCCAAAGGGAACAGCAACAGAAGCUCCAUUUAUUAACUACCUACUAUGUGCCAGGCACUGUGCCAAGGGGAAUGGCAACAGAAGCUCCAUUAGGCACCUACUAUGUGCCAGCACCAAGGGCUUCACAAAAUAAUAGAGCAUCUAUUUACUGAAUAUCUAGUAUGUGCCACGCAUCAUGCUAAGGGGAACAGCAAUAGAAGCUCCACUUAUCAGGUACCUACUGUGUGUCAAGCAUUGUGCCAAGGGCUUCAUAGAAUAAUAGCAUAAGAAUCUCGGCCGGGCGCAGUGGCUCACUCCUGUAAUCCCAGCACUUUGGGAGGCCGAGGUGGGUGGAUCACGAGGUCAGGAGUUAGAGAGACCAGCCUAGCCAACAUGGUGAAACUCCGUCUCUACUACAAGAUACAAAAAA
rnacentral:lncRNA from 10 species